rnacentral:lncRNA from 1 species
AAUUAUUCACAUGUCACAUAAAACAAAAUUGCCCUUCAUCUAAAACAAUCGACAUUCUCACAUGCAAAUGUCAUCACAAGGACUUUUCCAAGGCUUGUAAUGAGGUUGGGCUAACAAGAAAAAUUGGUUUUUCUAGAUCACAAAAUCCUUGAGUCAAGAGAGCUAUUUUAAAAUUCCAAGUUCAAGUACAAACUCUCUUUUUCACCAAUCUCACUCAUUCCCAACUUCUUCCCUUUUCUUUUUAUUGAGCUCAUCUUUCAUGCUUUUUCUUUUCUUCUUUUUCUUUUCUCAUGCAUUUUUCUUUUUCAACACUUGAGCUCAAUACUGUUCUUUUGCCUUUUUCCCCAAACCACCCCAAACUUGAACCAACACAUACAAUUAUUCUCAACCCAACUCAAGGUAAAUAAUUUCAAAAUAAGGGUUUUCAUCUCUUUUUAAGGCCAAGGUUCAAAAAAG